GACGAACGCUGGCGGCGUGCCUAAUACAUGCAAGUUGAGCGCUGAAGGUUGGUACUUGUACCAACUGGAUGAGCAGCGAACGGGUGAGUAACGCGUGGGGAAUCUGCCUUUGAGCGGGGGACAACAUUUGGAAACGAAUGCUAAUACCGCAUAAAAACUUUAAACACAAGUUUUAAGUUUGAAAGAUGCAAUUGCAUCACUCAAAGAUGAUCCCGCGUUGUAUUAGCUAGUUGGUUAGGUAAAGGCUCACCAAGGCGAUGAUACAUAGCCGACCUGAGAGGGUGGUCGGCCACAUUGGGACUGGGACACGGCCCAAACUCCUACGGGAGGCAGCAGGAGGGAAUCUUCGGCAAUGGACGAAAGUCUGACCGAGCAACGCCGCGGGAGUGAAGAAGGUUUUCGGAUCGUAAAACUCUGUUGGUAGAGAAGAACGUUGGUGAGAGUGGAAAGCUCAUCAAGUGACGGUAACUACCCAGAAAGGGACGGCUAACUACGUG
rnacentral:rRNA from 1 species